rnacentral:rRNA from 1 species
AUUGAACGCUGGCGGCAGGCCUAACACAUGCAAGUCGAGCGAGAGGCGGACGGGUGAGUAAUGUAUGGGGCUCUGCGCGGUAGAGGGGGAUCACUACCGGACACGGUGGCUAAUACCGCCUUGUAUCGGAUGAACCCAUAUGGGAUUAGCGAGUAGGGGGGGUAAAGGCUCACCUAGGCGACGAUCUGUAGCUGGUCUGAGAGGAUGAUCGGCCACACUGGAACUGAGACACGGCCCAGACUCCUACGGGAGGCAGCAGUAGGGAAUAUUCGACAAUGGGCGAAAGCCUGACCCAGCCAUGCCGCGUGAGUGAAGAAGGUUUUCGGAUCGUAAAGCUCUGUUGUUUGGGAAGCGGUACCAACCCAGAAAGCACCGGCUAACUUCGUGCCAGCAGCCGCGGUAAUUC